AGUCACCUGGUGACCUCAUUAAGAACCAGGAUGAAUCUGCUGUGAUCAUAUGUACACACAAUUUAUCAAACUAUGACCGUAUUCUUUGAUGAAAAAAGGCCAUCAUGGGCUUCAAGUUCAAGGGGUUUCUUAAUCUCAUAUAUGACAACCCUGAGUUGGAAUUUAAAAACAAGAUCAAACUUGAUGGAGUAAUGUGUUCUGUUGUUAAUGGCAGUGUUAAUCAAAGCCCCUCAAAUCUAAUUAAAUCUGAGAGAGACAAUGCAGAACUUGUAUGCGAAUACAACAUACCAUCUUACACUAGGAUUUUCUGGUACAAACAA
ensembl:lncRNA